rnacentral:rRNA from 1 species
AACGAACGCUGGCGGCAUGCCUAACACAUGCAAGUCGAACGAGACCUUCGGGUCUAGUGGCGCACGGGUGCGUAACGCGUGGGAAUCUGCCCUUGGGUUCGGAAUAACAGUUGGAAACGACUGCUAAUACCGGAUGAUGACGUAAGUCCAAAGAUUUAUCGCCCAAGGAUGAGCCCGCGUAGGAUUAGCUAGUUGGUGAGGUAAAGGCUCACCAAGGCGACGAUCCUUAGCUGGUCUGAGAGGAUGAUCAGCCACACUGGGACUGAGACACGGCCCAGACUCCUACGGGAGGCAGCAGUGGGGAAUACUGGACAAUGGGCGAAAGCCUGAUCCAGCAAUGCCGCGUGAGUGAUGAAGGCCUUAGGGUUGUAAAGCUCUUCUACCCGGGAUGAUAAUGACAGUACCGGGAGAAUAAGCUCCGGCUAACUCCGUG